rnacentral:ncRNA from 1 species
UAAGCUGAUCUGAGUUAAAGAUAUUAUUAGGUAGAGAGUUUAGCUAGUAGCAGUAUAUCUAUUAAACUAUAACGCAGGUGUUCUAAGAGGGACUUAUAGAGAACAGAAAUCUCUAGUAGAGCAAAAGAGCAAAAGUCUUCUUAAUUUUAAUCUUUUAGUAUAAAUAUAAACUAUGAAAGUAUAGCCUAUUAAUCCUUUAGUCUCUUAAAAUUUAAGGCUAGAGGUGCUAGAAAAGUUACUAUAGAGAUAACUAGCUUAUAGUAGCUAAGCGUUUAUAGCAACGUUACUUUUUAAUUCUUUAAUAUUAGCUCUUCUUAUUAUACUAAAGUAGAAUUUAGUAAGCGUUAGAUUAUUUACUUACUAAUAAGGAAUAUAAGCUAAGUUUAGACUAUUAUAAGAUAGGUUAGUUUUACUCUACUAAUAACCUUACCUUAAUAGUAAUACUGCUUAGUAUAAGAGAAACUGCAGUUUUAGAUAAUUAGUUUUUGCAGCUAUCUAACUAGGCAUUGCUGCGAAGCUACUAUCUACUAGAUUAUAGCUAAACGCCUCUAAGUUAGAAUCUAUGCUAGAAUAGAGUAAUUUCUGCCUGCACUAGUUAGAUAUAAAUAGGCCUUUAGCCUAGAACCUUAUUAGAUUAGCGUUAGCAGUCUUAUUGAAAUUAGAGCUGCUAGCUAGUGUAUUGCAAUUAUAUAGUGCGCAGGAUUAAAUCCUUUGCAGAUAACUUAGUUAUCUAGCUAGGUUAUAUAAGUAGUUAAGUAGCCUUAUUGUUAUAAGCUACUAAGUCGUAAGCCUAAUGCUAGCUUAGUUAAA